UUGCUUCAGCAGCACACAUACUAAAACUGGAACGAUACAGAAAAGAUUAAUAUGGCCCCUGUUCAAGUUAUGACAUGCAAAUUCAUGAAAUGUUCCAUAUGUUU